rnacentral:rRNA from 1 species
UGUAGGUGAAAGACUUACAUCUCUUCGAGCAUUUUACGUAGGUGCUGCAUGGUUGUCGUCAGCUCGUGCCGUGAGGUGUCGGGUUAAGUCCCAUAACGAGCGCAACCCUACCUUUAGUUGCCAUCAGGUAAUGCUGGGGACUCUAAAGGAACUGCCUACGCAAGUAGUGAGGAAGGCGGGGAUGACGUCAAAUCAGCACGGCCCUUACGUCCAGGGCUACACACGUGCUACAAUGGCCGAUACAGAGGGCAGCUACCUGGUGACAGGAUGCAAAUCUCCAAAGUCGGUCUCAGUUCGGAUCGGAGUCUGCAACCCGACUCCGUGAAGUUGGAUUCGCUAGUAAUCGCGCAUCAGCCAUGGCGCGGUGAAUACGUUCCCGGGCCUU